GAUGAACGCUAGCUACAGGCUUAACACAUGCAAGUCGAGGGGCAGCAGGGAUUUAGCUUGCUAAAUUCGCUGGCGACCGGCGCAAGGGUGCGUAACGCGUGAGCAACUUGCCCGUUUCAGGGGGAUAACCGGUGGAAACGCCGACUAAUACCCCAUGGCAUCAUUUGGAGGCAUCUCCUUAUGAUUAAAGAAUUUCGGAAACGGAUAGGCUCGCGUGACAUUAGCUAGAUGGCGGGGUAACGGCCCACCAAGGCAACGAUCGUUAGGGGUUCUGAGAGGAAGGUCCCCCACACUGGAACUGAGACACGGUCCAGACUCCUACGGGAGGCAGCAGUGAGGAAUAUUGGUCAAUGGUCGAGAGACUGAACCAGCCAUGCCGCGUGAAGGUCACGGCCCUAUGGGUCUUAAACUUCUUUUGUAAGGGAGCAAUAAGUCUCACGUGUGGGAUGAUGAGAGUACCUUACGAAUAAGCAUCGGCUAACUCCGUGCCAGCAGCCG
rnacentral:rRNA from 1 species